GGCUCAGGACGAACGCUGGCGGUGCGCUUAAUGCAUGCAAGUCGAACGGCUCCAAUCUGCUUCGGCGGAUUGGAGUAGUGGCAGACGGCUGAGUAACACGUAAGUAACCUACCCUUGAGCGGGGGAUAACCCAGAGAAAUCCGGCCUAAUACCCCGUACGCUUCGGAGACUACGGUCAAAGAUGGAAAGAUUCUCGCUUCGGCGGGCGUCGCUCUUGGAGGGGCUUGCGGCCUAUCAGGUAGUUGGUGGGGUAAUGGCCUACCAAGCCUUAGACGGGUAUCCGGUGUGAGAGCACGAACGGACAGAGGGGGACUGAGACACGGCCCCCACUCCUACGGGAGGCAGCAGCAGGGAAUCUUGCGCAAUGGGCUAAAAGGCCUGACGCAGCGACACCGCGUGGGGGAAGAAGGCUUUCGGGUCGUAAACCCCUUUUCUCGGGGAAGAGUGAGGACGGUACCCGAGGAAUAAGCCUCGGCUAACUACGUGCCAGCAGCCGCGGUAAUACGUAGGAGGCGAGCGUUGUCCGGAUUUACUGGGCGUAAAGGGCGAGUAGGCGGCUUGGCAAGUCUCAUGUGAAAUCUCCCGGCUUAACUGGGAGGGGUCAUGGGAAACUGCUAGGCUUGAGGGCAGUAGAGGAGAGUGGAAUUCCCGGAGUAGCGGUGAUAUGCGUAGAUACCGGGAGGAACACCCGAGGCGAAGGCGACUCUCUGGGCUGCACCUGACGCUGAGGCGCGAAAGCAUGGGGAGCGAACCGGAUUAGAUACCCGGGUAGUCCAUGCCCUAAACGAUGGAUACUAGAUAUGGGAGGUAUCGACCCCCCCCGUGUCGUAGCUAACGUGAUAAGUAUCCCGCCUGGGGAGUACGGCCGCAAGGCUAAAACUCAAAUGA
rnacentral:rRNA from 1 species